CAAUAGCGUAUAUUAAAGUUGUUGCGGUUAAAAAGCUCGUAGUUGGAGUUCUGCCAGGUGCCGCCUGUCCGCCCCAGUGGUGAGUACGUGGCGCGCAUUUGGCCCUUUCAAGGGGAGCGUAUCUGCACUUUAUUGUGUGGUGCGGGAUCCUUGACUUUUACUUUGAGGAAAUAGGAGUGUUCCAAGCAGGCUCUCGUCGUGCACAGCUCAGCAUGGAAUAAUAGCAUUGGACCUCGAUUCUAAGCUGUUGGUUGCCAGAAGCGAGGUAAUGAUGAAGAGGGAUAGUUGGGGGCAUUCGUAUUUAACUGUCGGAGGUGAAAUUCUUGGAUUUGUUAAAGACGGACUACUGCGAAAGCAUCUGCCGUGGAUGUUUUCAUUGA
rnacentral:rRNA from 1 species